AGUGCUGUUUGAAAAAAAUUGCUUUUUUGACAAAAAAAGGAUGAAAUAAUGAAAAAGUCAUCUGAUUUUUUAAAUAGCCUUGUUCAUCAGAUAUGGUUCAUGAAUCCUAUUUUGAUGAAAUGGGAAUUUUAUAAUCAGAGCAGGAAAUGUAUAUCAGAUGUUUUUUAUAAAUUUGCAAUGUGUCUGAAUGAUAGUUCAAUAAAUAAAAACAAGAAAAAGUCACAUGAGGCCACAAACAGCAAUGGAAAGAGCCUUCAGAUGUCCUACAAAGAGUCAGUGCAUUCCCAGGGAAAGAAUGGGGAAGUGGAGGCCAGGACAGGGGAUCCAGCCCUCAUGUGUCCCCUGGCAUGGCAGACGAGGUGGAGGCAAAGCACUUCUCUAUGACAUGGUUCCUCUGACCUGUUCCUGCAUUAGAGCAGAAGCUCUUGGUGGGAGCUUCUUGUCUGAAUGGUGCCUGGUGCAAUGGAGCCCUGGUGGGUCAACUACCUCUACACACAAAGAGAGAAUUAGGUUUUUUUUUUUUCACUCUCCAGUAUAUCUCAGUGCAACCUCCAUAUUUUUUUCCUGUGCUUUUUCCAAGAUAACCGCUGCUUCUCAACAUCCUCAGCAUAGAAGUUUCCAGUUUGGGCACUGUAAACUUUAAAAUAAUUAGUCAAUUUCAGGUCAUUUUCAGACUUCUUAAACACUUUAUUUUUUUCUGUAACAGCAAGGCAUAUAGUUCUGCUAAAAAAACCUAUCUGCUCUCUUCCUGUAACCUAUUUGUUAACCAUGUUUUGGUGACUGACUUUUGGGCACAAUCCCAAGAAUUUUUCAGGCAGUCUUUAAUAACCACUAAUAUGUCUGCAUACAAAACCAGAUGAUUAUUAUUCAUGGGUGGGAUUAUGCAGAAUUAAACUUUCCAAAACUGCAAUGAGCACAUUCAGCUAGACAUGAAAGUAAGCUGAAUUUCCAUUUGGUUUGCUUCUUGCUGAGCCUUCAAAUUAUAAAGUGAAGCAAAGCCAAAAGAUUAAUACAAUGAAAACAAAGAUUGGGAAAUUAAAUGACACGAUGCAAUUUUCUGCCUCAUUGGGCUGGCACCAAUAAUAUGCAAAGGAAAGCCUGCUUAGUGUUGUUUAGCUGCUGUAUAAAUGCGGGACAAUCAGUCUCCUUCUCAAGGGAAGGUAUUUUCUUGAAUCAUAUAGCCAUUGACUCUUCCAAUUACCAGACACCCCAUGCACAGCUUGAGGCCUAUCUUUUUUUUUUUCAUUAUUUUUCUGCUCUACUUUGCCAUAUUACUGCUAUUAGAGUUUACACAGGUACAUGAUUUUUCAUUAUCUCUAAAUUUUAGUGAUAGAUAAGGGGAACACACUGAAAAGAAAGAAGGGAAACCCUGAAGCCUGCUGCCACCUCUAUAGUUAAAUAUUAAUAUUUCAGAAAAUGUUACUUUGUGGAGCCUAUAAUGUAAUCAUCUCUUUCAGUGAACUUUUAAUGCAUUACAUAUUCAGGUUGCUGUUGGGGUAUUAGUGGAAAUAUAUCAUUCCUUAUAACUGUCUGGGAGGAAGCAUUGUCCCCUAGUCCUCUUUUUUGGGUGAUUUACUUAUUAGAAAUUAAGUUCUUGUCCUUUUAAAGGUUUGAGCGCUAUCUGCAUUUCUAUUACAUACCUAUGAACUCAAGGCCUGCUUACUCCCAUCAAGUCUAGUUUGCUUUGCCACUGAGUCUGCAAGACCUGGGACCAUAAGAGGAAGCCUUCGUUAACUAUGGAUACUAUAGCGUCCUUGCAGGAAGAGACCCAAACACAUUCGUGGCUCCAUGCCAUCCUGGUGUGUUCUUGUUUGCUGUGCCCAAGCUAUUGGCUGAUGGCUAACUUUUCACAUGAUGCAACAUAUCUGAAUAAUAAACCCUGGACUGCGAUUCAGAAAGGCUAGUGUCGGACCCAGUUUGAGUACUGACAUGGUGCGUGACCCCAAGUGCAGCAUUUGCUCGUGGGUAUCAGCAGACUUUGCAGACUUUCAGGGCAUGUGACAGGAGGCCCAUCAGUCACAAGAGGGAAGCACAUAGUGCCAGGAAGCUGUACAGCCCAGUGUUGAGAAUGUACACAUGACUCAUUCCUCCAGGUGAAAGAAAAUGAGGAUAUGAAUUUGAUCUCCAAGAUCUGAACAUGCCUACAGGAUGCAGCCUUUCAAGAGGGCUUGGGACUUUUGCUGGAGAAGAGGUUUCAAUCAGCUCAGUGACACUGGAAUUUAUGUGUUUGGAUAAGUGAAAUAGAAAUACUUGUGGUUUGGGAAUUGUGUAGUCAGGAUCUGACAACAGCUGGAAGAACUACCUUUUAGAUUAGGUCACCUAAAAAUUCAGUGAGGUUACCCAGAUGCCUCUGUAGAUGUAACCUCUUGUCUUACCUUUCCCCUUGGCUAGAUUGUCCCAGCCAAAACGAUGCCUACUAGCAUUUCGGUCUCCCUCAAAGUCUUGCUCUGGUUGGUGAUCUGUGCAAGACUGUGUUGUACUGUAGCUAGUUGCCUACCAGUCAAUUGCUUGUGCUCAGAUAAACAGCUGAGUGGAGCAACAACCACUUCAGACUCCUGCAAUCAGAGUUCAUUACAGGUUAGAGCAAGUAUGACUGAUUAAGAAGUGCAGGCAAUGGCUAGCACAACUGAGUCCUUUGUCUGAAGCAGCCAGGAAAUGCUGCUAUUUACUCGCCUGUAUAGUUCUCUUUUGAACAUCUUCUGUUCUCUCUGUCUCUCUCUCCCUUAAAAUAAACCCAGAAUCCCAUACUUUCUUCUGAACCAUAACUGGCUACACUUUAUUAUUGACAAAUGUCAUUCUUGCAUACAGAGGCAAUUAAUAACACCCAGGUGGUACCUGAAAGAUUUCAUAUGAAUUCCCUGACAGCGAUUCAUUCUACAUUUACCUAUUUAAACAGCUACAAAGAACUUAGUAUUGAGAGUAUGGAGAAUUUCUUUUUCAUGUAUCUUCUCCAUUCCUUAUGGGAAAAGUGCAUCAGCUGUUUUCCAAAUUGUGAUCUCUCUGUGAGUUGGAAAUAUUGAUCAACUGAGAGUGGUAACUGAAGAUUUGCAUUGCUCCUUAUGCCAUGUCCUGCAGGACACCAGUAAAAAUAGAUAAAUAAAUAAAUGGAACGAGAGGUUUCCAUAAAACAAGGUUUUGUUUUGCUUAUGUUUCAGAGCUGAUCCUAACAAAGUUUGUUCUGUCUACAGCAGAUAGUCAGUGCUUAUCAGCAAGCAUUUUAGCUAGACAUAUUUAGCUGUGCAUUUCAAAUGUCUGAACGCAGUAUCUUGGUCUGAAAUCAUCAUAUUUUUAAAAAUUUGAGUGCUAGAGUUCCAGGUGGAAAAAACUUCCAUACCGAGAUACCUUCAUUUUUUUUUAUCUUCUGCCUCGGGACGUAUAGAGAAGCAAUUCUGCAUGGGUUAUGACUGGAUAAUUCUUUUGCUCAAUUAAUUUUGUCAUUUGAAGUAUCAUUGCAUCUCUUUAGCUGAUUCCAAUACCUUAUAGCGAGUAUGAAUGUGGUGAAGCUGCACAUCUUCAGUGAUGUCAUUUGAUUGUUAAACAUUUCUAAUUCACUAGGUGAAAUGUCUGAUUGUACUUUCCUGAAGUCAAAGCAGACCCUAGUGGAUGAGAGGCAUUCAUGAAAACAGCAGUGCAAGCUGGAGAGAAGUUUCUGAUUGCAGGAUAGGAAUGUUGAGGAGCUUUAAAAUUAUCUUUAUUGUAGCUGGAAAACAAUAAAGAAAUUGUUUAGGAGAUCAUGUCCAUUUUAACUACAGACAUGGCUUUAUCUUCAAGGACCAAGGCAGCCUAAAUUUAUAUGCAAAGAUAUUCAGUAAUUACUCUGGAUGUAAAUAUGCUAUGGGGCUUCUGACAAACAGUGACACAGGCUUGUGCAUGUUCUUCACUUCCCUAGGGCAACUAUAAUAAUAAAAACCUGUAU